rnacentral:rRNA from 1 species
AACGAACGCUGGCGGCGUGCCUAACACAUGCAAGUCGAACGAGAAAGGGGCUUCGGCCCUGAGUAAAGUGGCGCACGGGUGAGUAACACGUAGGUAACCUGCCUUUAAGAUUGGGAUAACCUGUCGAAAGACGAGCUAAUACUGAAUAAGACCACAGCUUCCUCGGAAGCAGGGGUCAAAGGUAGCCUCUAUUUAUAAGCUAUCACUUAAAGAUGGGCCUGCGUACCAUUAGCAGUUGGUGAGGUAACGGCUCACCAAGGCAAAGAUGGUUAGCUGGUCUGAGAGGAUGAUCAGCCACACUGGAACUGAGACACGGCCCAGACUCCUACGGAGGCAGCAGUGGGAAUCUUGCGCAAUGGGCGAAAGCCUGACGCAGCGACGCCGCGUGAGGGAUGACGGCCU